UGACACCAGCUAAGCACAGAACCCAGUUUCUUUCAGAAAUCUGGUCCCACAAUAAAUUCACUUUAACCCCUUACCUGCCUGGGGCCUCAAUGAUCUAAAGAUCAUUAUGAUAUUGUAAAGGUAUUCAAAAGUGCAUGUAAAAUGUUCUAAAGUGAUUAAAUCAUUGUUUGAUGUAGUCUUGCAAAAAGGUGUUUCAGUAAACUUCCCUGUGUUUGCAAUGUACCGAACAGGAUCCUACAAAUAAUCCCAUUCUGUACAGUGAGAUUUCACAGUUUUGAUUGCAGCAGCUCAACAGUUUUAAUGUUAGAAAUCUUGUCAUUUAAAAAUAAAACAUGGUUCACAGUG